rnacentral:rRNA from 1 species
GACAGAGGAGCCAAGCGUUGUCCGGAUUGACUGGGCGUAAAGCGCGCGCAGGCGGCCUUUUAAGUCUGACGGUGAAAUGCCGGGGCUCAACCCCGUGCCCGCCGCGGAUACUGGGAGGCUGGAGACGAGUAGAGGCAAGCGGAAUUCCGGGUGUAGCGGUGGAAUGCGUAGAGAUCCGGAAGAACACCGGAGGCGAAGGCGGCUUGCUGGGCUCGGUCUGACGCUGAGGCGCGAAAGCGUGGGGAGCGAACAGG